CAGAACUAGCAGAACUUGUCCCCAUGGAAUACGUUGGCAUACCAGAAUGCAUAAAACAGUAUGAAGAAGAAAAGUUUAAAAAGAAACAAAAAAGAGACGGAGUUUUGCCAUGUUGCCCAGGCUGGUCUCAAACUCCUGGUCAAGCAGUCCGCCCGCCUCGGCCUUCCAAAGUGCUGGGAUCAUAGGUAGUUGAUCAAGAACUUAAUGGAAAACAAGAUGAACCGAAAAAUGAACAGUAAGUUUGGCAUCUAGUCCAAACAAGACUGAAGAAUGUGCUGAUGGAGCAGUGCUGUUUCUGCAUUCAUAAUGCAUUUAUUGGCCCAUAUUUUUAUGUAACCUGUUACAAAAUAGACUUGACUUUUUCAUAAUGGACUUUUGUAUUAUACAAGGGACUGUUCACUGCUGUACUGGUUUGCAAAUUUCUUGAAUUUAGCUCUUUAAUAGCUAACUGUAUUAUUAUCAUUUUAUAUUUUAUAUUGCUAAAUAGAGAACCACACUUUAUAUAAAGCAGUUUUUGCAUUUGUUUAUUGAAUGAUGCAUCUUCUUCGGUGAAAUAUUUAUAUGCAUAAAUGGCAAAGGAAAGAAAUAAUAUAUAUUUUUAUGUCAUUGAGCAAUAUUUUUUAAUGUGUACCUGUCUUAUGGAAGAAAUAUGCAGGUACAUAAGACCACGAUUUUCUAAAGUGCAUAUUAGAAUUUUUGUUUUUGUAAAUGGUUAAAUACAUUUCCUGGGUAACUUAGAAAAUUAAGUUUUUCAUAAGGCAACAGAUGGUUAAACUGAUUCUCAUGAAUACCCAAAGAUCAUGUAUAUAAUCGAAGUGUAUUAGUACCAUCCCAAGGUUUUUUUCUCAUUUAACAUAUUUGUUUCAUAAUUCAGCAAGUACAAAUGCAAGCGCAUUGCACACUUUUUCCUUUCUAAACUUAAAGACAAGUCAAAAAGCCAUUCUUAGAACUAGAGGAUUUAAGAGGGUAGGAAUUAGGGUUUGUAUAUAUGUAUAUAUGGGACAUUUUAUCUUCUGGCCCAAAGUCAGAACUUUAUAAAAAUCUUGAGUUUGUUCACUAAUGUGAAAUAAGCUAUGUGUCCAGGGUAUUGCUCCCCUGAGUGUGUAUGAGUGCUGAGUAGUAUUGCAGAGAAUGUGAUGAGUUAUUCACUGUCACAACUUUUUCUAUAGAAAACAGGGGCUGCUUUUUAAACUGCUCUCACUAUGGGCACUUUACCAAAAUUCUUCCAUAUCAAUUAUUUGAACUCAGUAGUUGUUUGACCUAGUUAGAUGUGGUGUUUAUUCAAGUUUGUAUGAAAUCAUGUUUGACAAUACUGUAAAUUAGGUUAAUUUUGUAAGUCUUAGCAUCAUCAUAUUGUGCUGUUUUGGAUAACACGUUUGUUACAAGCAUUUAAACUGUUUCAUUUGGUAGUACCUUUA
rnacentral:sRNA from 1 species